rnacentral:rRNA from 1 species
CCUACGGGAGGCUGCAGUGGGGAAUAUUGCACAAUGGGGGAAACCCUGAUGCAGCGACGCCGCGUGAGUGAAGAAGUAUUUCGGUAUGUAAAGCUCUAUCAGCAGGGAAGAAAAAAGACGGUACCUGACUAAGAAGCCCCGGCUAACUACGUGCCAGCAGCCGCGGUAAUACGUAGGGGGCAAGCGUUAUCCGGAAUUACUGGGUGGAAAGGGUGCGUAGGUGGAAUGGUAAGUCAGAAGUGAAAGCCCGGGGCUUAACCCCGGGACUGCUUUUGAAACUGUCAUGCUGGAGUGCAGGAGAGGUAAGCGGAAUUCCUAGUGUAGCGGUGAAAUGCGUAGAUAUUAGGAGGAACACCAGUGGCGAAGGCGGCUUACUGGACUGUCACUGACACUGAUGCACGAAAGCGUGGGGAGCAAACAGGAUUAGAUACCCCUGUAGUC